rnacentral:rRNA from 1 species
GGCCUAACACAUGCAAGUCGGACGGUAGCACAGAGGAGCUUGCUCUUGGGUGACGAGUGGCGGACGGGUGAGUAAUGUCUGGGAAACUGCCCGAUAGAGGGGGAUAACUACUGGAAACGGUAGCUAAUACCGCAUAACCUCGCAAGAGCAAAGUGGGGGACCUUCGGGCCUCACGCUAUCGGAUGUGCCCAGAUGGGAUUAGCUAGUAGGUGGGGUAAUGGCUCACCUAGGCGACGAUCCCUAGCUGGUCUGAGAGGAUGACCAGCCACACUGGAACUGAGACACGGUCCAGACUCCUACGGGAGGCAGCAGUGGGGAAUAUUGCACAAUGGGCGCAAGCCUGAUGCAGCCAUGCCGCGUGUAUGAAGAAGGCCUUCGGGUUGUAAAGUACUUUCAGCGGGGAGGAAGGCGGUGAGGUUAAUAACCUUACCGAUUGACGUUACCCGCAGAAGAAGCACCGGCUAACUCCGUGCCAGCAGCCGCGGUAAUACGGAGGGUGCAAGCGUUAAUCGGAAUUACUGGGCGUAAAGCGCACGCAGGCGGUCUGUCAAGUCAGAUGUGAAAUCCCCGGGCUUAACCUGGGAACUGCAUUUGAAACUGGCAGGCUAGAGUCUUGUAGAGGGGGGUAGAAUUCCAGGUGUAGCGGUGAAAUGCGUAGAGAUCUGGAGGAAUACCGGUGGCGAAGGCGGCCCCCUGGACAAAGACUGACGCUCAGGUGCGAAAGCGUGGGGAGCAAACAGGAUUAGU